CUGGCUCAGGAUGAACGCUGGCGGCGUGCCUAAUACAUGCAAGUCGAACGAAACUUCUUUAUCACCGAGUGCUUGCACUCACCGAUAAAGAGUUGAGUGGCGAACGGGUGAGUAACACGUGGGCAACCUGCCCAAAAGAGGGGGAUAACACUUGGAAACAGGUGCUAAUACCGCAUAAYCAUAGUUACCGCAUGGUAACUAUGUAAAAGGUGGCUAUGCUACCGCUUUUGGAUGGGCCCGCGGCGCAUUAGCUAGUUGGUGAGGUAAAGGCUUACCAAGGCAAUGAUGCGUAGCCGAACUGAGAGGUUGAUCGGCCACAUUGGGACUGAGACACGGCCCAAACUCCUACGGGAGGCAGCAGUAGGGAAUCUUCCACAAUGGGCGAAAGCCUGAUGGAGCAACGCCGCGUGGGUGAAGAAGGUCUUCGGAUCGUAAAACCCCUGUUGUUAGAGAAGAAAGUGCGUGAGAGUAACUGUUCACGUUUCGACGGUAUCUAACCAGAAAGCCACGGCUAACUACGUGCCAGCAGCCGCGGUAAUACGUAGGUGGCAAGCGUUAUCCGGAUUUAUUGGGCGUAAAGGGAACGCAGGCGGUCUUUUAAGUCUGAUGUGAAAGCCUUCGGCUUAACCGGAGUAGUGCAUUGGAAACUGGGAGACUUGAGUGCAGAAGAGGAGAGUGGAACUCCAUGUGUAGCGGUGAAAUGCGUAGAUAUAUGGAAGAACACCAGUGGCGAAAGCGGCUCUCUGGUCUGUAACUGACGCUGAGGUUCGAAAGCGUGGGUAGCAAACAGGAUUAGAUACCCUGGUAGUCCACGCCGUAAACGAUGAAUGCUAAGUGUUGGAGGGUUUCCGCCCUUCAGUGCUGCAGCUAACGCAAUAAGCAUUCCGCCUGGGGAGUACGACCGCAAGGUUGAAACUCAAAGGAAUUGACGGGGGCCCGCACAAGCGGUGGAGCAUGUGGUUUAAUUCGAAGCAACGCGAAGAACCUUACCAGGUCUUGACAUCUUCUGACAAUCCUAGAGAUAGGACUUUCCCUUCGGGGACAGAAUGACAGGUGGUGCAUGGUUGUCGUCAGCUCGUGUCGUGAGAUGUUGGGUUAAGUCCCGCAACGAGCGCAACCCUUAUUGUUAGUUGCCAGCAUUAAGUUGGGCACUCUAGCAAGACUGCCGGUGACAAACCGGAGGAAGGUGGGGAUGACGUCAAAUCAUCAUGCCCCUUAUGACCUGGGCUACACACGUGCUACAAUGGACGGUACAACGAGUCGCAAGACCGCGAGGUUUAGCAAAUCUCUUAAAGCCGUUCUCAGUUCGGAUUGUAGGCUGCAACUCGCCUACAUGAAGUCGGAAUCGCUAGUAAUCGCGGAUCAGCAUGCCGCGGUGAAUACGUUCCCGGGCCUUGUACACACCGCCCGUCACACCAUGAGAGUUUGUAACACCCAAAGCCGGUGGGGUAACCUUUUGGAGCCAGCCGUCUAAGGUGGGACAGAUGAUUGGGGUGAAGUCGU
rnacentral:rRNA from 2 species